UGUAAUCAUUUGUAAUCAGAUGAAAUCGUAUGAAAUCGUAUGAAAUCUAAUGAACUCAUGUAAUCUAUGGGACAACAUUUUAUGUAGUGGUUACCCCCUCGGAAUAAGCCUCGACAAAUGUGAAUCUGUGUGCAAAUGCCAGCAAUUCGAAAAUUUUCGCAGUGCGAAUUCGCACUCUUGUAUUUGAAGGUUAAAUCAUAAAUUAACAGUCUUAAUUCUGUAAGGGUAGAUACCGAGUUAUUGGAUCCAUCAUAUUUUAAUUUAUUAUCAAAAAUAUCAAAAUACAUUAAGUAACAUCUUAUCGGUCUUGUAUGUAUCGCGACUAGUAUGAAUUUAUUCUCCUUUGUCCAUACACGAGAAACUUGUGGAUUUUUUACAUUUGACAUAUUGACGAUAUAGUAACUUGGUUAUUUGACAAAUUUUCACAAGACUUCCAACGGAAUUUCCACUCUGUUGAGACGUUUUAUAAUGUGGACAAAGAGACUGCUCAGAAAUUUCGACGACCAUUAUGAUUAAUUACAUUGACUCUUAAAUUGCUAUUUCUUAACGCUGAUUACUUUAUGUAUAUUUACUAUUCGACUCUCGUUUUUCUACACUAAUAAUUUAUUGUUAUAUAUCGACUAUAAGACUCAUGUAUUUUUCGCUAAUUAUUUAAUUUUUUGCGGUUGAAGAAGACUAAGUAAAGCCAAAACAUGCACCGCGCCUAUUUGUUUUGAAUAAAUUUUAUAUUUUAUAUUUUAUAUUUAAGCGUUACCUUAUUAGUGCUCGUUAGUUUGGC